rnacentral:sRNA from 1 species
GUUUAGCCCGGAUUGAAACGGCAUCCUUUUUGCUUUUUUGCAAAAAGAUAUAGUGGAAAGCAGGAAAUAGC